rnacentral:tRNA from 1 species
GGCCUGGUAGUUCAGUUGGUUAGAAUACCUGCCUGUCACGCAGGGGGUCGCGAGUUCGAGUCUCGUCCGGACCG